rnacentral:pre_miRNA from 14 species
UAAGUUUAAAUUAAUAGCUGAGGAAGACUGAAGGGAGCUUUCUUUUGACAGUUCGAUUUCGAACUCUUACUGUCAUGGAGGCGCUCUCUUCAGGUGAACUCUGGCUCUUUUUUUUUGUUUUU